CCUACGGGCGGCAGCAGUGAGGAAUAUUGGUCAAUGGACGAGAGUCUGAACCAGCCAAGCAGCGUGAAGGAUGACUGCCCUAUGGGUUGUAAACUUCUUUUAUACGGGAAUAAACCAGGGUACGCAUACCCUCUUGUAUGUACCAUAUGAAUAAGGAUCGGCUAACUCCGUGCCAGCAGCCGCGGUAAUACGGAGGAUCCGAGCGUUAUCCGGCUUUAUUGGGUUUAAAGGGUGCGUAGGUGGUGUGUUAAGUCAGUUGUGAAAGUUUGCGGCUCAACCGUAAAAUUGCAGUUGAUACUGGCAGGCUAGAGUACAGUAGCGGUAGGCGGAAUGCGUGGUGUAGCGGUGAAAUGCUUAGAUAUCACGCAGAACUCCGAUUGCGAAGGCAGCUCACUGGACUGCAACUGACACUGAUGCACGAAAGUGUGGGUAUCAAACAGGAUUAGAUACCCGAGUAGUC
rnacentral:rRNA from 1 species